rnacentral:snoRNA from 1 species
AACCAUGGUAGGGGCAAAGGACUUGUAGUUCUUUAUAUCUUUCUCAUGCUUGGUAUAAAGUCUCACUAUCCUUUUGAGUAAAUGAGGAAAUUUGCUUCUUAAGGGC